CAAGCUGUAGACCUUAGAGAACUAACUGCAUUUCCAAUGCGAAGACCAAAGUCCCAAGAGCAGCAUGAAGUUUUCAUUCAAUUCUGAAGUGCACCAUCUUGGCAGCUGGCAUGGCAUGUGAAGAACGUUGAGCCUGGGAAAGCACAGUCUGUCUUCGGAGACCUUCUGGGACAACAGAGGUCACUCCUUAGCUGCUUUGUAUCCAACUGUUUCCUGUCAUCAUUCAUACAUUUGGAACAGAUAUUGGCAAAGCAAAGGUUGACUUGGGCUGUGAAGCAGAUAGAACUAGAAAGGGACCUCCCGUGACCCCGUCGGGGAUCCAGCUGGACUCUGGCAAAGUCCCUGGAAUCCAUGGACCCUUCUUCACGGGAAAUGCUAAUUCUACUCUGCUAGGCCACUCUCCAGAGAUAUUCCUCUCAAGUAUCAACAGUGACCAUUGCACUAACACUAGGCCAAAGGCCCUACGCUGCCUGGAAUAUUUAUUUACACCGCUUAUCUAAUGGUUUCUAGAUUAAAACAAUGAUCUUG